CUGGUAUUACUGGAGCGAUCUAAGAUGGCGGACGAGAAAAGUCUCAGCCUUCAUAGCUACGCCAAAGAUGCUGACAGGAAGCACCAAGAAAAUGAAAACAGAAUGCCAUCAUUUCAUCUUUGGCAUAGCUAUGCUGUUUCUAUUUACAAAAAGAGAAUUCGGUCAUUGCCAACAGGGCGUACACCUAAUUCAAAUGAAAAGAGACUGGCUCUGGGAUCACUGACACAGCAAACAGUAACUGAU